rnacentral:tRNA from 1 species
GGAAGCGGAUGGGGCGCUGGUGGCCCUCCCGGACUUCAAAUCCGGUCGGGAGGCAGCAAUGUCUCCGGUGGGUUCGAUUCCCUCACGCUUCCGCCA